rnacentral:lncRNA from 1 species
CAGAGAGUGUGAACAACAAUUGGAUGAUGCAGUGAAGAAGUUUCCAAACUUGAAAAUGCGGAUGCCCUUCACUACCUACUCCACACAGGGCCACACCCUUAUGGAGCUCACCUCAGACAGAAAUGAAAUAAGUGAUGGGCUCACUAAACUCUAGAAUAUAGUGCCUACCGGAGCCACAAAUAUGCAGGAAGGAUUUAAAAAGGCAAAUGAGCAUAUUGAACAAGAAAAUGCUAAAGGUAAAUUGCCUGGUGACUUCACUAUGGGCAGGUUUGGGGGCAGAGCAGGCCUGGGCCUCAGGGAGGUCUGGUGCAGACCCUGGUCAGCC